rnacentral:rRNA from 1 species
UGCGCAGGCGGUUAUAUACGACAGAUGUGAAAUCCCCGGGCUCAACCUGGGAACUGCAUUUGUGACUGUAUAGCUAGAGUACGGCAGAGGGGGAGUGGAAUUCCGCGUGUAGCAGUGAAAUGCGUAGAUAUGCGGAGGAACACCGAUGGCGAAGGCAAUCCCCUCGGGCCUGUACUGACGCUCAUGCACGAAAGCGUGGGGGGCAAACA